AACGAACGCUGGCGGCAGGCUUAACACAUGCAAGUCGAGCGCCCCGCCAGGGGAGCGGCAGACGGGUGAGUAACGCGUGGGAACGUACCUUUUGGUUCGGAACAACUCCGGGAAACUGGAGCUAAUACCGGAUAAGCCCUAACGGGGAAAGAUUUAUCGCCGAAAGAUCGGCCCGCGUCUGAUUAGCUAGUUGGUGAGGUAACGGCUCACCAAGGCGACGAUCAGUAGCUGGUCUGAGAGGAUGAUCAGCCACACUGGGACUGAGACACGGCCCAGACUCCUCCGGGAGGCAGCAGUGGGGAAUAUUGGACAAUGGGCGCAAGCCUGAACCAGCCAUGCCGCGUGAGUGAUGAAGGCCUUAGGGUUGUAAAGCUCUUUUGUCCGGGAAGAUAAUGACUGGGCCGUAAGAAUAAGCCCCGGCUAACUUCGUG
rnacentral:rRNA from 1 species